rnacentral:rRNA from 1 species
GAGUUUGAUCUUGGCUCAGAUUGAACGCUGGCGGCAGGCCUAACACAUGCAAGUCGAGCGGAUGAAGGGAGCUUGCUCCUGGAUUCAGCGGCGGACGGGUGAGUAAUGCCUAGGAAUCUGCCUGGUAGUGGGGGAUAACGUCCGGAAACGGGCGCUAAUACCGCAUACGUCCUGAGGGAGAAAGUGGGGGAUCUUCGGACCUCACGCUAUCAGAUGAGCCUAGGUCGGAUUAGCUAGUUGGUGGGGUAAAGGCCUACCAAGGCGACGAUCCGUAACUGGUCUGAGAGGAUGAUCAGUCACACUGGAACUGAGACACGGUCCAGACUCCUACGGGAGGCAGCAGUGGGGAAUAUUGGACAAUGGGCGAAAGCCUGAUCCAGCCAUGCCGCGUGUGAAGAAGGUCUUCGGAUUGUAAAGCACUUUAAGUUGGGAGGAAGGGCAGUAAGUUAAUACCUUGCUGUUUUGACGUUACCAACAGAAUAAGCACCGGCUAACUUCGUGCCAGCCGCCGCGGU